CGUAGGUGGCAAGCGUUGUCCGGAUUUAUUGGGUUUAAAGGGUGCGUAGGCGGCGAUCUAAGUCAGUGCUGAAAUAUCCCGGCUUAACCGGGAGGGUGGCAUUGAUACUGGGUUGCUUGAGUAAAGUUGAGGUAGGCGGAAUUGACGGUGUAGCGGUGAAAUGCUUAGAUAUCGUCAAGAACACCAAUAGUGAAGACAGCUUACUAAACUUUAACUGACGCUGAGGCACGAAAGUGUGGGGAUCAAACAGG
rnacentral:rRNA from 1 species